UACGUAGGGGGCAAGCGUUGUCCGGAUUUAUUGGGCGUAAAGAGCGUGUAGGCGGCCAGGUAGGUCUGCUGUGAAAACUCGAGGCUUAACCUCGAGCUGUCGGCGGAAACCAUCUGGCUAGAGUCCGGAAGAGGAGAAUGGAAUUCCCGGUGUAGCGGUGAAAUGCGUAGAUAUCUGGAGGAACACCGGUGGCGAAGGCGGCAUCCUGGACCAAUAUUGACGCUGAAGAGCGAAAGCUAGGGGAGCAAACGGG
rnacentral:rRNA from 1 species